GAACACCUACUGUGGCAUUAUGAGCCUAUGUUCAUGUGACUAAGUCCAGCAGUGAAAAUGAAAACCCAGGUCAUAAUUCAGUCAUCCUUCAGGAAUCCAUCAGGAGAAAGAGGAGGAAAAAUGAAGCCCCAUCCAAGGAGCACAAAAGUCUGUACAGACUAAGGGAUGUGCCUGCAUGAGGGGGCCAUGAAUGCCUGUGGGAAGGUUUGUGUAAGGAUAGAACUCUUCAGUAUUGAAGUUUAUUGCACCUGCUUUCCUAAGCCCUAGAGCUACCAUGGCUGACUUUGGUGUAGAAAAAGUGGUGCAACAGCUCAAUCGAGGCAGAAGAUCUUGUUUAGCAACAAAAACAUCUGUAACAAGCAAUAUCAAAACAGUUUCUACUUUGAACAUUGAAUUAGAUUAUACAGAAGAUUAGAAAUUAGUGGGAUAUAUUUAGAAGUCACGCAAGGUGGUCGAAUCACUACAACGAUUUUCAAGACAAGAAGGUGAAAAAGCAAUUUGACCUGCAUGUACAGAUAUUUGUAGGAUACUUUGGAGAACCUGAAGAAUGAAUGUGGGCACCUUCCAUACCAAGGGAUUAAGUGAUGGACCUUACUGAGUCGAGGCCAGAGUCAGUUCCCUAAUGCCAGCAUUUGGUGUAAUUUUGCUGUCAUGGCGAAUCCUUCCUUGUCUCCUGCUGCUAAUUCAGAAGGGAAGAGGUCAUGAGUAUCUCUGCCAAUCCUGUGUAGAUGUCUCAGGUAAUCUAGGGCAAAUAAAAGGA